AUUGUUGUAAUAGUAAAUAAGAUUUAAAACCAUGAAGAACCACACUCCAUACCAGUCGGUGGCAGUAAUGCACAUCAUAACGUUAUUUGCCAACUGCCAAAAAAUAAUACAGAAGAAGAAGAACUCUUCGCCUGAGCGUUGAGCCUACGUCGUAUCUGUUCCAGUGUGUGCGACAAUCCUCCGAUCAUUCGUCUAGCGCUUGGAGCUUUAUGAUUCCCUGUCUGGAUUCUGCGUGCUCUCCAGGACCAAGGAAUCUUCAGUCUUUUACUGGACCUAUACAACUCACUGACAAGCUUUCUCCUACUGCAAACCUGUCCACCCUCCAACGCAACUUCAGCUUCAUCUUCCUCUCACUCCUCACGGAAAGUACGAGUGCUGUGAACUCUGCUCCCAGUUUCCUUAACUCCGUCUCCCCUGGCGGAUCCCGUCUCCUUUCUAUUGGAGAGACCAGACUCCUGUCACUUCCCUGUAGGAUUUAAGGAGAAAAUAAACUUAUUUUUCACCGUGAGAUUUCUCUGCUGCAAAUUCUUUCUGUAUGUGGGCCGGAUCAGUGUCAAAAAUGAUGUCAGAACCUAAAUCCCCAUUCUAAAGCCCAAGCUUCUACACUAUUUAAGGCGACUUGUAAUUUCAAAUUUACAAAUUCUAUAUUUCUUCCCCUCUUCCAAAUAAUGCCAUCAUCUGCAAAUAAUGAAACACCAAAAGAUUUAUCUAUACUACUAAAAAUAUCAUUAAUCAUUAUAAUAAAUAGCAUAGGACUUAUACUACCUUGGGGAGUACCAUUUUCAACUUGAUAUUUUGAACUUAUUUCCCCACCUAUUGUUACUGUAAUACUUCUUUCAGUUAAAUUUUUUUUAUCCAUCUAUAUAUUUUACCCCUUAUACCUAUUUGUUUUAUUUUAAUCAACAGCCCUUCUUUCCAAAACAUGUCAUAAGCCUUUUCCACAUCUAAGAAAACUGCUAUUAAAUUCUACUUAUUAAUCUGAGCCCGUAUAAUUUCAUGUUCCAGACAUAAUGCAGGAUCUAUUGUACUUCUGCAUUUUCUAAAUCCAAAUUGAUAACACUUAAUCUUCUUAGAUUCUAAAAAACAAAUUAAUCUGUUAUUUACCAUUUUUCCAUAAUUUUACCUAUACAUGAUGUUAGAGCUAUUGGUCUAUAACUUUCAGCUGAAUUAGGAUCUUUACCAGGUUUACAAAUAGGUAUUAUGAUGGCUUCCUUCCAUUUAUCAGGUAAUAUCCCUCCCACACCUUAUUAUACAAUUCUAAUAAUAUUACUUUACUCACAUCACUAAGAUUGUUUAACAUACUAUAACUGAUUUGAUCACCCCCCGGAGUUGAUUUACUGGAAUUCUUCAGUGCUUUAUUUAACUCUAUUAAAGAAAACUUCAUAUUGAAAAAAUCCUCAUAAUCUUCAUCAUUAUGUAAUAAUUCAAUAUUUCUUUGUAAUGUUAUUUUACGUCCUUUUUUUUCUUUACCAAGUCAACCCGAGUGCCUGCUCCAUUAUUUAAUAUUACCAAUUCUUUUUCUUCAAUCAUCUCUUCUAAAAUUCCUCCAUUAUAAUCAUCUUGAUCUCCCCAUAAAGUGCUAUGUGCAUUGAAGUCCCCACACCAAACUAUUUUCCCUCUCCAGUGUUCUAGGAUUGUUUCAAGUUUUAACUUUACUAAUUGUUUGCAAGGAUUGUAAUAAUUUAUUACUGUAAUAUUCCCAUUAUUUGUCCAAAUUUCUACAGCAAUAAGUUCUAAGUCUGUUAUUAUUUGGAGCUGAAUAAAUUUUAUGUUUUCCUUUAAGAAUAUGGCACAACCUCCUCCAUUCCCAUUUAUUCUAUCUUUACGUAAAACUAAGUAACCAUGAACACUAAACUGCAAUGAUGGCUUGAGCCAUGCUUCUUGAAUGCAUAUUAUGUCUGGUUUUGUAUUUAAAUUAUUAAUGAAGCCUUUAAAUUCCUGACCAUUUGCUAUUAGACUAUGAGCGUUCCAUUGUAAUAUUAGAAUUAUGUAACAAUUUGAGAAGCCUCAGCUUCAGAUGAUCCUUCCCCAUGUCUAAGUUCAUCAUGAAUUUUUUUCCCAUGAUAAAUCUUUGACAUUAAAAAACUUUGUAGCUGCCUUUA